rnacentral:rRNA from 1 species
UACGAAGGGGGCUAGCGUUGCUCGGAAUUACUGGGCGUAAAGCGCACGUAGGCGGCUUUCUAAGUCGGAGGUGAAAUCCUGGAGCUCAGCUCCAGAACUGCCUUCGAUACUGGAGAGCUUGAGUCCGGGAGAGGUGAGUGGAACUGCGAGUGUAGAGGUGAAAUUCGUAGAUAUUCGCAAGAACACCAGUGGCGAAGGCGGCUCACUGGCCCGGUACUGACGCUGAGGUGCGAAAGCGUGGGGAGCAAACAGG